GGUAGGGUGGCCGAAGGCUCAGGCGGCGGAUUGUAGCCCCGAUAACAGAGGUUUAACUCCUCUCCUUACCA
rnacentral:tRNA from 1 species